AUUGAACGCUGGCGGCAUGCCUUACACAUGCAAGUCGAACGGCAGCACGGGAGCAAUCCUGGUGGCGAGUGGCGAACGGGUGAGUAAUGUAUCGGAACGUGCCCAGUCGUGGGGGAUAACGUAGCGAAAGCUACGCUAAUACCGCAUACGAUCUGUGGAUGAAAGCGGGGGACCGUAAGGCCUUGCGCGAUUGGAGCGGCCGAUAUCAGAUUAGGUAGUGGGUGGGGUAAAGGCCUACCAAGCCGACGAUCUGUAGCUGGUCUGAGAGGACGACCAGCCACACCGGGACUGAGACACGGCCCAGACUCCUACGGGAGGCAGCAGUGGGGAAUUUUGGACAAUGGGCGCAAGCCUGAUCCAGCAAUGCCGCGUGCAGGAUGAAGGCCUUCGGGUUGUAAACUGCUUUUGUACGGAGCGAAAAGGCUCUCUCUAAUACAGGGGGCUCAUGACGGUACCGUAAGAAUAAGCACCGGCUAACUACGUGCCAGCCGCCGCGGUAAUAC
rnacentral:rRNA from 1 species